rnacentral:rRNA from 1 species
GGGUUGUGAGGUUAAGCGACCAAGCGUACACGGUGGAUGCCCUGGCAGUCAGAGGCGAUGAAGGACGUGCUAAUCUGCGAAAAGCGCCGGUAAGGUGAUAUGAACCGUUAUAACCGGCGAUGUCCGAAUGGGGAAACCCAGUGUGA